GGGGCUGCAAGGUUUCUACGUAUAAUUCUGUAUACAUAAGUUUUGAGGAUGAAAAUGAGCUGCGCUUCGCUAAUAUUAGCUCAAUAAUUUAUAUGGAAAACAUCAAAUUGUACAAUUUUCUAAAAAUAGAAUUCUAGCCCACAAUUGUUGAAUAUUUUUUAGAAAAUCAGUCUAUAUUUUCUAGUUUAUAAGCUGAUUUGUUUUAAAUUAGAUGCACUUUAUAAUUGAUUUAAAGAAAAGUUUUGCAUUGACAAAGUACGUGAUUUACCCUCGUGACUGAUUUAAGUUAGUCAAAUUAAUAUACAGGAUUAAUAUGGACGUGGGUUCGAAUCCCACCAGCUCCA
rnacentral:tmRNA from 1 species